CACGCCGUAAACGAUGAAUGCCAGUCGUCGGGUAGCAUGCUAUUCGGUGACACACCUAACGGAUUAAGCAUUCCGCCUGGGGAGUACGGCCGCAAGGUUAAAACUCAAAGGAAUUGACGG
rnacentral:rRNA from 1 species